UACGUAGGGUCCGAGCGUUGUCCGGAAUUAUUGGGCGUAAAGCGCGCGCAGGCGGCCUUUUAAGUCUGAUGUGAAAUCUUGCGGCUCAACCGCAAGCGGUCAUUGGAAACUGGAGGGCUUGAGUACAGAAGAGGAGAGUGGAAUUCCACGUGUAGCGGUGAAAUGCGUAGAUAUGUGGAGGAACACCAGUGGCGAAGGCGACUCUCUGGUCUGUAACUGACGCUGAGGCGCGAAAGCGUGGGGAGCAAACAGG
rnacentral:rRNA from 1 species